UUGAAGUUAAGUGCAAGCGUGAAAUGAUUUGCUUAAUUUGGUGGAGGAAUUUCUCUCAUUUCUCCUAUCCCUCUUACCUUCCUCUCUCUAUUGUCUCCUAAGAUUUCAAGGCUUGAAGUUCAAUGCAUUUGCCUACACUAGACCUAAGGUGGCUCCACCCCUGGCUAUGCAUGAGGACCACAUGAGGAGACGACCAAUGCGUGUGGUGACACAUCAACCAAAAUUCAAAGAUAGUUUCUUCAGACAAUAUGUUUUUGGUGGCAUGGUGGACCUUCGAUGGUGUCUAUUUUUCAUUUUGAGCGAGAUGGUGAAAUCUAAAAGAUUUUACCCUCAAGCGUUCAAGUGCGGGAGUCGUUUUGUGUUGCCGUAGUUGCUCGAAGUUUUAGAGCGAAUAGUGGUGGCCCUAUAUUGUAAAUUAUUUCCUUAUUUACGAACCCGCAAAUAUGGUCUGCUUGGCAUUAUGUUCUUUCUUUUUAUUAUUGUAGCUAUGACUAUUGUGUAAGAUAAUUAUUUACUUUUCGCAUUAGAAGUCAUA
rnacentral:lncRNA from 1 species